CUUUAAUUUGCAGUGUUUGUAUCAUUAUGUUAAUGCUGACAAGCAAACCCCUAAAUCUUAGUUGUUGGCAUAUAAUCAAAUACACGGUAUAAUUUUCUUUAUUAUUGUGUAUGUAUUUAUUUCCGUCAUUCUGCGUAUCUCAGUCAUUUACAGGAAAAUCAACUGUAGAGUGGUGCGAAUAGCUGUAUCUCAAUAACAUUG